AAGGAAGAAAUGUGCAGAUUUGAAAUUUUUCAAGUAAGAAUGUUAACAUCAGUAUUAAUUUUUUUUCUCCAAAUAAAAAUUAAUAUUUUGUAAUCAUUGCAAUCAAAAAUUAUGAUGUACCUUCAUUUUAUAAUACCAAAAAACCCCGACCUUAGGCAUAAAUGGCUAGUGGCUAUAAGAAGAGACAAUUUUAAACCAAGUGACUAUACAGGGAUUUGUGAAAAACACUUUACCAAAGAAGACUUUGAAGUUAAUGAACAUGGGAAUAGAAUUUUAAAAGCAGGAGCAGUUCCUUUUGUUUUUGAUUUCCCAAACAUUUACAAAAAAAAAGUACAAGAAAGGAGGCCCUUGGAAAGGAAAAGAUUAAGCAGUGAAGAUAUUGAUGUGAGAAAAAAAUAGAUUGUACAGUUUGUUAAUGUGCUUGAAGUAAAAUAAUUUUUGUUAAUUAUUAAUCAUAUUUUUAGAUACCAGUACAGAUGCACCAGCUGUGGAUACUGAACUAACGGUAGAACUUCAUGAAGAUUACCUGAAGGAUUUAAAUUCACAAAAUACUACAAUGACCGUACAUUUUGACUCGAUCCCUUCAAACUCUAGAGAAAAACCUUUUCUCAGAAGAUGAAAAAAUGAGGAGCAAACGAUUUUGGGAGGUAGCACAUGAUACUAUUUCCAAAUCUAACAAACUUAGGACAUAUCAAAAUACAAUCAGAAAACGAAGGCAGAAGAUGAACAAUUUCAACUCAUUGCUGGAACAAUAGUUACAAGAGAAGAAUCUCCUGAACAGUUGCUACCGUUAAAGGUGUAGUUUUCUCUCAAAUUUAUAGCAUAGUUUUGUGAGUUGUUUAUAUGAUUUUGGUUAUUAGAAAUUUUUAUUGUUGUAAAGCGCCCCUGAAAUACAUAGAUCAUCACAAUUUUUCCAGAUUUCCUGGCUUUAAUACUACAAUACUAUAGACUAUAAGCUCAUUAUCAUGAAGACAAAUAAAUUUUAUAAUUGUUGUAACCCACCCUGUAUAAUGUAUAUAUUAAAUAUAAAAAUAUCUUGUCUCUUCAUUAUAUUUUAACUUCUAUUGUUAUUUAUUGUAUAAUUCAGGGUUUUUACAUUCCACACAAACAUAUACUAUUUUAUUACAUUUUAUGUACUUGUCCUAAACAAAUACCAAUAAUAUAAUCCCUUAUUUUUAAGCAAGAAUAUUAGAUUUUAAGAAGACAUUACCCAUCCAACUUUCAAACUGUACAGAUGCAAUAAAUAUUAUUAUUAUAUUGUGUAAGUAAAUCUUUUUAAAUUUAUGAAUAAACUAGUUGGCAUGAGAUUUUUUUUAUUCUAAAAUAAAUUUUCAAAAAAGUGUCAUUUUUAAUCACAUAUUUGAACAAUUUUGAUGAUAAACAUUUAUAUUCUACAGAUUUACAUGGCUUUUUGCCCACUUUAGCUCUAUCCCCAUCACGAACCUCUUUUUCUAUUUUUAUUUAUAUAUAAUUUUCUUAGUAACAGGCGGUUUAUUCGCAGUAAUUCUUCUAAAUAAUUUCUAUUUAUGUAUUUCUAUUUUUUUUUGCUCUAGAACUUUAUAGAAUUUUAUAGAGGUAUAUAAAUGAUUAGUGUAAACGCAGUUAGUUUAGUUUUAAAUAAAUAACCGUAGUGGAAAGAUCAAGUUGAUAAAAGUAAUCGCAGAAAUUAUUCAAGUAAGAUUUAUAAGUGAACUAUUAUAAGUUAAGUAUAUUGUAUAGUUUGUAAAUAAAUUAUGAACG